rfam:Salmo salar isolate Sally breed double haploid chromosome ssa13, whole genome shotgun sequence.
CCCAUAAUCACAUGUAAGUCGCUCUGGAUAAGAGUGUCUACUAAAUGACUGAAA